rnacentral:rRNA from 1 species
AUUGAACGCUGGCGGCAUGCCUUACACAUGCAAGUCGAACGGCAGCACGGGCGCAAUCCUGGUGGCGAGUGGCGAACGGGUGAGUAAUGUAUCGGAACGUGCCCAGUCGUGGGGGAUAACGUAGCGAAAGCUACGCUAAUACCGCACACGAUCCGUGGAUGAAAGCGGGGGACCGUAAGGCCUCGCGCGUGUGGAGCGGCCGAUAGCGGAUUAGGUAGUGGGUGGGGUAAAGGCCUACCAAGCCGACGAUCUGUAGCUGGUCUGAGAGGACGACCAGCCACACUGGGACUGAGACCCGGCCCAGACGCCUACGGGCGGCAGCAGUGGGGAAUUUUGGACAAUGGGCGCAAGCCUGAUCCAGCAAUGCCGCGUGCAGAAUGAAGGCCUUCGGGUUGUAAACUGCUUUUGUACGGAGCGAAAAGGCUCUCUCUAAUACAGGGGGCUCAUGACGGUACCGUAAGAAUAAGCACCGGCUAACUACGUGCCAGCAGCCGCCGUAAUAC